rnacentral:lncRNA from 1 species
UUCCAAGUUAGGGAACCACUGUUCUGAUUGGUUCAUAUGAGUAUUCCUUUGUCUCAAGUUCAGAGUGGUGCCGUAGAAAGAACCUCUCUGAGCUUAGAAUCAGAAGACAUAUGUUGAAAUCCGGAUGGUGACUAUUCAGGGACUAGGGAGGCAGAACCUAAGAGGUUGUCAGUGCCUGCAAGUCAGGAAACUAAAGAAAAUGUGUGAUGUGGCGAAUGCGGUAUGGAAUCCAAGAGAGGCUGAUACACGUGGACAUUACCAAAAGAAACCUCAACAAAACUGGAGUCAGGAAGGCCUGCAGGGGAAGCUCUCCCACUGCAUCAUACAUCCUCAAUUGCUCCAAACAGGAAGAGGCAGGACCUAGCACCUCCCACAGGAAGUGCAACUACAGGAACUGUACUACUGAAGGAGGAAUUCUCUCCCCACCCAGCAACAGCCCAGCCAAUGAGAAGCCGUUGCUGCCCUGAUCUCUUACUCUCCCCCAAUGGACUUUCCUUUAGAACAGCCCCUACCGCUCCUCCUUUUCUCUAUAAAAACAAGCCCCUUCCUUUUGUCUCUCUGGAUUUUCUUAUGGUUUGCCAUAGGAUGCACAUCCCAAAUUGCCAUUCUUUUGGCUCUUCCCAAAUAAACUCCUUUUGCAAGUAAAACAAC